UGGUCUCUGGUGGACGCUCAGGCCUACAAGGUCAGUGCCGCCAGCUCCAUCUUCUUCGGAGGAGUCCUGGUCGGAGUCGUCUCGUUCGGACAAUUAUCCGACCAGUUUGGCAGAAAGUGGGUGUAUGUGACCGGUUUGGCGCUGGACAUCGUCUUCUCGCUGGUGAACGCCAUGUCUCCUUCCUUCCCCGUCUUCCUUGGUACUCGCUUUAUGGUGGGAGUGAUGAACGGGGGGAUGUCCCUGGUCGCCUUCGUGCUGCUUAAUGAAUGCAUUGGUGCCACCUACUGGGCAUUAGUGGGCUCUCUGUCCAGUCUGUGUUUUGCGCUGGGGAUCGCACAGUUCGCGCUCAUCGGAUUCUUCGUGCGCUGGUGGCGUCUCCUGGCGCUGGUGGUGAAUGUCCAGGGUGCGGCCAUCUUGCUGCUGUCGCUGUGGAUCCCGGAGUCUCCGCGCUGGCUGUACGCUCAGGGCCGCCUGCAGGACGCUCGGGACGCGCUGCUCCUCCUGGGACGCUUGAACCGCUCCAAACCCAAACCCUUCGCCCUGACCCCCCGGCAGAAGGACAGCGGCGCCUCCCGGUCCAAGAUCCUCAGCAUCUGCCGCAGCGCGGUACUGCGCCGCCGAACACUGCUCAUGAUGUGGGCCUGGUUUGUCUGCAGUCUGGUGUAUUACGGACUGACACUCAGCACCGGAGACCUGGGGGGAAACAUCUACUUCAACCUGGCGCUAUCCGGCCUCGCCGAGGUCCCAGCGUAUCCACUGUGCAUGUAUCUAAUCAAUCAUAAGAGCUGUGGCCGGCGCAGAACACUUUGUGGCUUCCUGAGUCUCGGUGGAGUCUCGUGUCUGAUCAUUAUGGCCGCCCCUGGGCAGAGAGGCUGGUGGAGCAGUCAGACGUUCUCACUCCUCGGAAAGCUUUGUAUCAGCGCGGCCUUUAACAUCGUCUAUAUCUACACCUCGGAGCUGUAUCCCACCACUGUCAGGAGUCUGGGGAUGGGCGUCUGCUCCAUGUUCUCUCGCUUUGGAGGAAUCAUUGCGCCGUUCGUCCCCGCUCUGCGCUCGGUCUGGUGGGUUCUCCCUUACGUGGUGUUUGGCUCCUCGGGGGUGACCGCCGGGCUCCUCAGCCUCCUGUUACCCGAGACGCUGAACUGUCCGCUGCCGCAGACGCUGAGUGACCUACAGGUGUCCACAUAUCACUGCCUGGAGGAGGAGGAGUCCUGUCUGCUAAGGGAAGACGCCGCACAGGUCAGACUACCUACCUGACCAUGUGACCUGCUGGCCCCUCACUGGUGUCACAAUGUGACUGCGGCCAUGAUGGGAGGUGACCCACUCUCUUUAUAUGGGGGAUCUGCCAUCUUCAGGGCUGAGCCGGGGAUGGGAGCGGAGGUGUCCAGUGAGGAGGAAGAGGAGCUCUGACCACACCCCCUUGACCCCUCAUCAGAGUUUACAAAAACAAAGCCUUAACGGGGAGGCGAAGGGUUCUGUGUGCCACAGGGGCAAAGGGUCUUGUGUACCAGAGGAACUGUGAUUCCUGCGGAGCAGAGGGUCCUGUGUGCCAGUGAGGCGGAGGGUCCUGUGUGCCAGUGAGGGGGAGGGUCUUGUGUGCCAGUGAGGCGGAGGGUCUUGUGUGCCAGUGAGGCGGAGGGUCUUGUGUGCCAGUGAGGCGGAGGGUCUUGUGUGCCAGUGAGGCGGAGGGUCUUGUGUGCCAGUGAGGCGGAGGGUCUUGUGUGCCAGUGAGGCGGAGGGUCUUGUGUGCCAGUGAGGGGGAGGGUCUUGUGUGCCAGUGAGGCGGAGGGUCUUGUGUGCCAGUGAGGCGGAGGGUCUUGUGUGCCAGUGAGGGGGAGGGUCUUGUGUGCCAGUGAG